rnacentral:tRNA from 1 species
GGGCCUUUAGCUCAGUUGGUAGAGCGCCACGUUUACACCGUGGAUGUCGUCGGUUCGAGCCCGGUAGGGCCCAC